rnacentral:rRNA from 1 species
GGUGAAGCCCAGCUUGCUGGGUGGAUCAGUGGCGAACGGGUGAGUAACACGUGAGCAACCUGCCCUCCACUUCGGGAUAAGCCUUGGAAACGGGGUCUAAUACCGGAUAUGAGCUCGCAUCGCAUGGUGUGGGUUGGAAAGUUUUUCGGUGGGGGAUGGGCUCGCGGCCUAUCAGCUUGUUGGUGGGGUGAUGGCCUACCAAGGCGUCGACGGGUAGCCGGCCUGAGAGGGCGACCGGCCACACUGGGACUGAGACACGGCCCAGACUCCUACGGGAGGCAGCAGUGGGGAAUAUUGCACAAUGGGCGCAAGCCUGAUGCAGCGACGCCGCGUGAGGGAUGACGGCCUUCGGGUUGUAAACCUCUUUCAGCAGGGAAGAAGCGCAAGUGACGGUACCUGCAGAAGAAGCGCCGGCUAACUACGUGCCAGCAGCCGCGGUAAUACGUAGGGCGCAAGCGUUGUCCGGAAUUAUUGGGCGUAAAGAGCUCGUAGGCGGUCUGUCGCGUCUGGUGUGAAAUCCCGAGGCUCAACCUCGGGCUUGCAUCGGGUACGGGCAGACUAGAGUGCGGUAGGGGAGACUGGAAUUCCUGGUGUAGCGGUGGAAUGCGCAGAUAUCAGGAGGAACACCGAUGGCGAAGGCAGGUCUCUGGGCCGCAACUGACGCUGAGGAGCGAAAGCAUGGGGAGCGAACAGGAUUAGAUACCCUGGUAGUCCAUGCCGUAAACGUUGGGCACUAGGUGUGGGGCUCAUUCCACGAGUUCCGUGCCGCAGCUAACGCAUUAAGUGCCCCGCCUGGGGAGUACGGCCGCAAGGCUAAAACUCAAAGGAAUUGACGGGGGCCCGCACAAGCGGCGGAGCAUGCGGAUUAAUUCGAUGCAACGCGAAGAACCUUACCAAGGCUUGACAUGUACGAGAAAGCCCCCGAGACGGGGUUCUCUUUGGACACUCGUACACAGGUGGUGCAUGGUUGUCGUCAGCUCGUGUCGUGAGAUGUUGGGUUAAGUCCCGCAACGAGCGCAACCCUCGUCCUAUGUUGCCAGCGGGUUAUGCCGGGGACUCAUGGGAGACUGCCGGGGUCAACUCGGAGGAAGGUGGGGAUGACGUCAAAUCAUCAUGCCCCUUAUGUCUUGGGCUUCACGCAUGCUACAAUGGCCGGUACAGAGGGCUGCGAUACCGUAAGGUGGAGCGAAUCCCAAAAAGCCGGUCUCAGUUCGGAUUGGGGUCUGCAACUCGACCCCAUGAAGUCGGAG